rnacentral:rRNA from 1 species
AUUGAACGCUGGCGGCAGGCCUAACACAUGCAAGUCGAGCGGAUGACGGGAGCUUGCUCCUUGAUUCAGCGGCGGACGGGUGAGUAAUGCCUAGGAAUCUGCCUGGUAGUGGGGGACAACGUUUCGAAAGGAACGCUAAUACCGCAUACGUCCUACGGGAGAAAGCAGGGGACCUUCGGGCCUUGCGCUAUCAGAUGAGCCUAGGUCGGAUUAGCUAGUUGGUGGGGUAAUGGCCCACCAAGGCGACGAUCCGUAACUGGUCUGAGAGGAUGAUGAGUGACGCUGGAACUGGGACACGGUCCAGACUCCUACGGGAGGCAGCAGUGGGGAAUAUUGGACAAUGGGCGAAAGCCUGAUCCAGCCAUGCCGCGUGUGUGAAGAAGGUCUUCGGAUUGUAAAGCACUUUAAGUUGGGAGGAAGGGCAGUAAGUUAAUACCUUGCUGUUUUGACGUUACCAACAGAAUAAGCACCGGCUAACUUCGUGCCAGCCGCCGCGGUAA